rnacentral:lncRNA from 1 species
UCAUCCUCUCAUAAUAAAAUGAGCUAAGGGUCUUCAGGAAAAUUUUGGUCAUCUCCUUUUCCUCUAAAGGAGGACUGAUCUGAGCAGCGAGUUCUCUCCACCUAUACACAUACUCCUUAAACGUCUCUUUGUCCUUCUGAGAUAGUGAUCUGAACUGAUCUGGGUUAGGAGCCAUAUCAACGUUGUACUUAUACUUCUUUACAAAUGCUUCACCCAAAUCAUUGAAAGUUCG